rnacentral:rRNA from 1 species
UCAUACGGAGGAUCCAAGCGUUAUCCGGAAUUACUGGGCGUAAAGAGUUGCGUAGGCGGUCUUGUAAGCAAGGCAUGAAAUAGUGUGGCUCAACCAUACUGCUAUGUCUUGAACUGCAAAACUAGAGGAUGAGAGAGGUUAUUGGAAUUCCCAGUGUAGGAGUGAAAUCCGUAGAUAUUGGGAGGAACACCGAUGGCGUAGGCAGAUAACUGGCUCAUUCCUGACGCUAAGGCACGAAAGCGUGGGUAGCAAACGGG